rnacentral:rRNA from 1 species
CAAUAGCGUAUAUUAAAGUUGUUGCAGUUAAAAGCUCGUAGUUGGACUUCUGGCUUGGUGAGGUGGUCCGCCGCAAGGUGUGCACUGUUUUGUCGAGCCUUCUUCUCGUAGUUGGUGGGUGCACUUAACUGGGCGCCUAUUGAAUAUGGGACCUUUACUUUGAAAAAUUAGAGUGUUCAAAGCAGGCCUUCGCUUGAAUACAUUAGCAUGGAAUAAUAGAAUAGGACUUUGGUUCUAUUUUGUUGGUUUCUAGGACCGAAGUAAUGAUUAAUAGGGACAGUUGGGGGCGAUUUUUAUUUCCAUUGUCAGAGGUGAAAUUCUUGGAUUAACGGAAGAAAACUAACUGCGAAAGCAUCUGCCAAGGAUGUUUUCUAUUGAUCAAGAACGAAAGUUAGGGGAUCGAAGACGAUUAGAUACCGU